rnacentral:sRNA from 1 species
UGGAUUGUAAUACGAAAUAAUUUAAAAGGGCUUGCUCAUAUAUAGGAAAAUUGCAUAUGGUCCUAGUAUUAAAUUCUUAUUGCUUACUGAUUUUUUUGAGUUAAGAGUUGUUAUAUGCUAGAAUAUGAGAAUGUGAAUAUAAAUAAGAGAAGAAAAAAGAAUAAAGUAGAUUGAGUCUCCAAUUUUAUGUAAGCUUCAGAAGAACUGGUUUGUUUACAUGCAAGCUUAUAGUUGAAAUAUUUUUCAGGAAUUACAUGAAUGACAGUCUUCGAACCAAUGUGUUUGUUCGAUUUCAACCAGAGACUAUAGCAUGUGCUUGCAUCUACCUUGCAGCUAGAGCACUUCAGAUUCCAUUGCCAACUCGUCCCCAUUGGUUUCUUCUUUUUGGUACUACAGAAGAGGAAAUCCAGGAAAUCUGCAUAGAAACACUUAGGCUUUAUACCAGAAAAAAGGUAUUCUGUAUUUACUCGUUUGUGCCAACAUGCUGAGUCUAAGCUACUCUAAGGAAGAAAUACUAACUUUUUUUGUCUCCUACAGCCAAACUAUGAAUUACUGGAAAAAGAAGUAG